rnacentral:piRNA from 1 species
UGAGUUGGACCAAGGGAAGUAUGAUGC